rnacentral:rRNA from 1 species
CGGCGAACGGGUGAGUAACACGUGGAUAACCUGCCCUGAGGUGGGGGAUAACCCGGGGAAACUCGGGCUAAUACCGCAUGAUACCGAGAGGUCAAAGGGGGCUCGCAAGGGCUCUCGCCAUAGGAGGGGUCCGCGUCCGAUUAGCUAGUUGGUAGGGUAAUGGCCUACCAAGGCGACGAUCGGUAGCCGGCCUGAGAGGGUGAUCGGCCACACUGGAACUGAGACACGGUCCAG